rnacentral:rRNA from 1 species
GACCUUGCCAGGGCUUGACAUCCCGCUGACCGGUGCAGAGAUGCGCCUUUCCCUUCGGGGACAGCGGUGACAGGUGGUGCAUGGUUGUCGUCAGCUCGUGUCGUGAGAUGUUGGGUUCAGUCCCGCAACGAGCGCAACCCCUGCCCCUAGUUGCCAGCGGGUUAGGCCGGGCACUCUAGGGGGACAGCCGGUGAAAGCCGGAGGAAGGUGGGGAUGACGUCAAAUCAUCAUGCCCCUUAUGCCCUGGGCUACACACGUGCUACAAUGGCCGGUACAAUGGGCUGCGAACCCGCGAGGGGGAGCCAAUCCCAAAAAGCCGGUCUCAGUUCGGAUCGCAGGCUGCAACUCGCCUGCGUGAAGCCGGAAUCGCUAGUAAUCGCGGAUCAGCAUGCCGCGGUGAAUACGUUCCCGGGCCUUGUACACACCG